rnacentral:rRNA from 2 species
CCGAACCGACUAAUGUUGAAAAAUUAGCGGAUGACCUGUGGCUGGGGGUGAAAGGCCAAUCAAACCGGGAGAUAGCUGGUUCUCCCCGAAAGCUAUUUAGGUAGCGCCUCGUGAAUUCAUCUCCGGGGGUAGAGCACUGUUUCGGCUAGGGGGCCAUCCCGGCUUACCAACCCGAUGCAAACUGCGAAUACCGGAGAAUGUUAUCACGGGAGACACACGGCGGGUGCUAACGUCCGUCGUGAAGAGGGAAACAACCCAGACCGCCAGCUAAGGUCCCAAAGUCAUGGUUAAGUGGGAAACGAUGUGGGAAGGCCCAGACAGCCAGGAUGUUGGCUUAGAAGCAGCCAUCAUUUAAAGAAAGCGUAAUAGCUCACUGGUCGAGUCGGCCUGCGCGGAAGAUGUAACGGGGCUAAACCAUGCACC